rnacentral:rRNA from 1 species
GACGAACGCUGGCGGCGUGCUUAACACAUGCAAGUCGAACGGAAAGGCCCUGCUUUUGUGGGGUGCUCGAGUGGCGAACGGGUGAGUAACACGUGAGUAACCUGCCCUUGACUUUGGGAUAACUUCAGGAAACUGGGGCUAAUACCGGAUAGGAGCUCCUGCUGCAUGGUGGGGGUUGGAAAGUUUCGGCGGUUGGGGAUGGACUCGCGGCUUAUCAGCUUGUUGGUGGGGUAGUGGCUUACCAAGUCUUUGACGGGUAGCCGGCCUGAGAGGGUGACCGGCCACAUUGGGACUGCGAGACGGCCCAGACUCCUACGGGAGGCAGCAGUGGGGAAUAUUGCACAAUGGGCGGAAGCCUGAGGCAGCAACGCCGCGUGCGGGAUGACGGCCUUCGGGUUGUAAACCGCUUUCGCCUGUGACGAAGCGUGAGUGACGGUAAUGGGUAAAGAAGCACCGGCUAACUACGUG